UUUAACAGUAUUCUUUAAAUAAAAAAGAAAAAUGUAUCAGCGAUUGAAGUGUAUAAAACAAUGUAACCAACACUAAACAAACCAUUCAAGUGAACACCACUCGUCGACCAGGUUUAAUCUGGCGGAUUUCAAACAAUCAUAUUCGAGCAAUUCUACCAAUUAAAGACUUAACAAUGGAAUCUAAGGUUAUAGCUGUUUUUGUCAUCUUUGUUAUAAUUGUGGCUUUACAAUUGUCGUUGAACAUGUGUGAAGCUUCGAUUCCUAAUAGAAAUGGAUUACCUCAAGCUAGAAGCUUGGGACAGGUCGUCAACUCAAGGACAAUUAAAAUUCCAAAUAUGUAACAAUUGUUUUUUAAUUAUCGAUGAGAAUAAGUUAAAUAAAAGUUGGUAUGUUUUAAAAUAUA